rnacentral:rRNA from 1 species
UAGGGAAUCUUCCGCAAUGGGCGAAAGCCUGACGGAGCAACGUCGCGUGAGUGAUGAAGGUCUUCGGAUCGUAAAACUCUGUUAUUAGGGAAGAACAAAUGUGUAAGUAACUAUGCACGUCUUGACGGUACCUAAUCAGAAAGCCACGGCUAACUACGUGCCAGCAGCCGCGGUAAUACGUAGGUUGCAAGCGUUAUCCGGAUUUAUUGGGCGUAAAGCGCGCGUAGGCGGUUUUUUAAGUCUGAUGUGAAAGCCCACGGCUCAACCGUGGAGGGUCAUUGGAAACUGGAAAACUUGAGUGCAGAAGAGGAAAGUGGGAUUCCAUGUGUAGCGGUGAAAUGCGCAGAGAUAUGGAGGAACACCAGUGGCGAAGGCGACUUUCUGGUCUGUAACUGACGCUGAUGUGCGAAAGCGUGGGGAUCAAACAGG